rnacentral:rRNA from 1 species
UUGGAGGGCAAGUCUGGUGCCAGCAGCCGCGGUAAUUCCAGCUCCAAUAGCGUAUAUUAAAGUUGUUGCAGUUAAAAAGCUCGUAGUUGAAUUUCGGGACCAGUACGUUGGUCGUGCCUUAGGUACGUACUGGUGUUACUGGUUCCUACCUUCUGACGAACCAUCAUGUCAUUCAUUUGGUGUGGCGGGGAAUCAGGACUGUUACUUUGAAAAAAUUAGAGUGUUUAAAGCAGGCUCGCGCUUGAAUACAUUAGCAUGGAAUAAUGAAAUAGGACGUUGAUCCUAUUUUGUUGGUUUCUAGGAUUGACGUAAUGAUUAAUAGGGAUAGUUGGGGGCAUUAGUAUUCAAUUGUCAAAGGUGAAAUUCUUGGAUUUAUUGAAGACUAACUACUGCGAAAGCAUUUGCCAAGGAUGUUUUCAUUAAUCAAGAACGAAAGUUAGGGGAUCGAAGACGAUCAGAUACCGUCGUAGUCUUAACCAUAAACUAUGCCGACUAGGGAUCGGAUGAUGUUAAUUUUUUAAUGACUCAUUCGGCGCCUUACGGGAAAC